GGCCGGAUAAGGCGUUUACGCCGCAUCCGGCAAUCAACGCCUGAUGCGUCGCUGUCGCGUCUUAUCAGGCC
rnacentral:ncRNA from 1 species